rnacentral:rRNA from 1 species
AGCUCCAGUAGCGUAUAUUAAAGUUGUUGCAGUUAAAAAGCUCGUAGUUGGAUUUCUGCUAUUACGCCCUAGCCUACUACAAGUUGUAGUUGUGCUGGUGUGCGUCUAGCUUCCUUCUAGGGAGGCUUCUGGCGUCUUCGUGCGUCAGUUGUUCGAUCUAGAUCUUUUACUUUGAAUAAAUUAGAGUGUUCAAAGCAGGCAAUCGCUGUGAAUACAUUAGCAUGGAAUAAUAAUAUAGGACUUCGCUUCUAUUUUGUUGGUUUUCAGAACGAAGUAAUGAUUGAUAGGGAUAGUUGGGGGUGCUAGUAUUGUCCGACUAGAGGUGAAAUUCGUACUCGGCUAAGACUAACUUAUGCGAAAGCAUUCACCAAGGAUGUCUUCUUUAAUCAAGAACGAAAGU